rnacentral:rRNA from 1 species
UACGAAGGGGGCUAGCGUUGCUCGGAAUCACUGGGCGUAAAGCGCACGUAGGCGGAUUGCUAAGUCAGGGGUGAAAUCCUGGAGCUCAACUCCAGAACUGCCUUUGAUACUGGCGACCUUGAGUCCGGGAGAGGUGAGUGGAACUGCGAGUGUAGAGGUGAAAUUCGUAGAUAUUCGCAAGAACACCAGUGGCGAAGGCGGCUCACUGGGCCGGUACUGACGCUGAGGAGCGAAAGCGUGGGGAGCGAACAGG